AUACUCUGGUUUAUCUUUAGAUCAUAUAAAUCUUUUAACUUUUACUGAAUAUUUCCCUGUAGAUAAACAAUUCUGAGUCUUUACCUAAUUUUUUAAGCCUUCUUUUUUAUAAGGA